UUGAACCAGAGAAACAAGGAGGGGCAGAGCCUGCGAUCAUGUUACGCAAGAAACGAAAACACAGAGCCGAGCUGUGCACGUAUUUUCAGCGGCAUUGUAAUAUUUUUUAUGGCCGCUGUGAAAUCUCCGCCUGCAUUUAAUUUAGCCUAUUAACAACAACAACACUAAAGAUUUAAUAAUGAUCUCCAACGCAGGUUGUGCUUCCUUUACUAGCCUAAUUUAUAAGCCAUUGUCCACAUUUUUGUGUUUUGAUGUUUGGAGCAGGAAAAUAUGCCAUAGGGGGAUAAUCUAUCUUAAAAGUAGGCUGACAGUAGCAGUACCACAAUGUUAUUACAAAUAAAAGUAUUUUAUUUAAUUUUUUUUAGUUAGAGACCUGUUAGCAGGGUGCGAUCUGUAAAAAAAAAAAGCAGCAAAAACAAAUUCUCCCGCUGCUUAUAAUUAAAGUAACUGAUUAAAAAGCCGUCACUUUCAAGAGUGUCAUUUAGUGAAACCCUGUAGCUGUUUGUUCCGGUAUGUUCACUGGUGUAACAGGAACACUGGGCUGCUUGUCACCAUAUAAACAGAUUAUCAGAUUGUCAGAUCAGCUUUAGUCCUCUGCUCUCAUAACUGUUAAAUUUGUGACUUGUAGCCAAUCAGAUAUUUCCGUGGGCGGGAGCAGUGACUACAAACAGAGAGAGGCAGCUGGAUCAGAGCUAUAAGCGCCAAAGUUUUGUGAUCUGUUGCAUUACUGAAGUAGCAGUGAUCACUCUGAGGGGGGAUAAAUUUUGUCAACACUGGGGAUAAAAAUAGCCUAAUGGUUUGGUUCAUUGCUGAUGUUGAGAGGUGAGGGCCAGUGGUGAACACCAAAGGUGAAUCUUAGGUCCUCUUUCAUUUUUAGAUUUGCAUGCUGCAAAUGGGGCAAAUAUUUAACAAACGUGUUUAUGCUGAUGAUACACCACUGUUUGUUCCCCUUAAACCAGUUCUGUCAGUGUAGUCAGCUGACUUUCUGAUCUUUUUAUUUGACAAGCACCCAGUGUGGUACCUUGAGAACAACAGCUAAAUUCAAUAAUUUUUAAUAGCUGAGAUGUUGAGAAAGUAGUUGAUGCUUUUAUAUCCUCUGACAUGGACUACUGCAAAUCAUAAACAUUCUGCCCAAAUUGCUAUUACUUGGAUUUGAACUAUACAGGAUCAAUCUGAUAAUUAUCAUAUUAAUAUGAUUCAUUACUGUAUAUAGGUUACUUUAAUGUAGAUAUUUUCUUAUUCACACAACUAAAUUUCUGUAGGCCUAAUCUUUUUUGUUUCUUUAUUCUUAAAAGUUCUCUUGGGCCUUGUAAUAUUUUAGAGAAGUUCAUACUUGCAUAAAGAUAGUAGCUUCAAUACAUUGCAUGUAUUUAAUGAUCAAAUACAGAAUUAUUUAGGUAAACUGGUGGCAAUGUCAACAGUAAAUGCUGUUACUGUAAGUAUAGAUUUGAUUAAUAAUAUAACCAAAUGCAUCUUUGUUAUGUUUGCAACCUAACAAUGUAAAUCUGGUAUGUUAAACAGGCUGCCCAACAGUGUCCUUCCCUGGCCAUAACUCUUUCCAUAAACAAAGUGGGCCCUCAUUCCCCACAGCUGGCCUCUCUGCAGCCCGGUGGGGGGGAAAAGGAAGCUAGCUGACUAAAGCACACGAGGAACAGCUAAGAGGCUUCCAUUUACACACAUUACCGCCUGCACCACAGCGGUCUGCGUGAAAUAUAAACCCACACACAAGGAGUUUACUUUUCUUACCUGCUAAAAGUUUUUAAGUUUAUUCACAACUUCUUUAAUCCUAUGUGUACAUUUGUGUAGGUCACAUACUUCAUCUAUUUUAGCAGCAACUUUUGUUUUAUUUUUUAUUUAUUAUUCAUUAUUUAUGUAUUUUUAUUAAUUAUAUAUAAAUACUAAUGUGUUUUUAUCCCUGUGGUUUAGAAGUAAUUAAUAGUGUGUUUCUGGCCAGGGACCUUUGUUGCCUGUCACCAUUAUUUCCUAUUACCUCUUAACUCUUUUCUCAACCUCUACUAUGAUCUAAAGUCCAACAUAGUCUAGUUUUUUAUAAUUGGUAACACACAUUUCAUUAUACCCUUUUUAAAAACAGCUAUCUUUACCAACAUGCAGCUCAGCACAACAGCACCUAAAAUGCACUAACGCAACUAAAACACUCAGGAUCAACUUUUGUACCAGAACACUAAAAAGAUUUGUCUUCCUCGCUACACAGUGACCCAAAAAGCACCAACAACAGACUCUUUCUGCAUGUCUGAUCAGUCCCUGGAGAUCUUCUGCAGAUAUGUCCAGACAGCCAGCAAUCAUUGUUCCAAAGAGGAACAUCUGAUCAUGUGGCUGGUGGUCAAACGUUUCACCUCCAUGAAGACAAGGAUUCCUCUGUGGGGUUGAGGAAUGGAGAGUAAGGUGGAAGUAAAAGUGACACCAUCCUGGGAUGGGCUGUAAACAACUCUGUGACUGAAGAGGACAGUGAAAUACCACAUCAUCCCAUACAAUUACAAAAUGUUCUGGAUUCUGCCUCAAUUGCCCCCUUUCAUAGGGAGGUCCAUCGCAGGGCCACACAUAGACGAACAACCACUCACACACCUAAGGACAAUUUAGGGUAACCAAUCAACCUAGCCUGCAUGGCUUUGGAAGGUGGGAGGAAGCUGGAGCACCUGGAGAGAACCCACGCAGACAUGGGGAGAACAUGCAAACAGAAACUCCACACGGAAAGGCUGGGGCAACUGGGGUUUGAACCCACGCCCUUCUUGCUGUGAGGCAACAGUGCUAACCACCACACCACCGUGCCGCCCCAAUUAGGAGUUUAUAUAUUUUUAUUUAUUUUAGUUUCUCUUUAGCAGAAUGUUGCAAAUUGCUCACAAAUUUACAGUAAUGUGUGAUAUUUUCUGUAUAUGUAUAUUUACAAUAGCAUGUAAACAUGUGCAAAAUUGAGUUUUGUUGUUGUGUUUGGUUUGAGUGAGAAAACAGUUCAUGAAUUUUGAAAGCUGUGGUCACUGCAUGCAUUUUGUGUCAAAGCAGUGAAAAUUGAUGUCAUAGCCUACUGUAGAAAAUGAGUCUGCUCCCUUUAUUCAGAAAGACAUCAUACGGGGCUUCGGCUACAAUAUAAAAAGACACCACUAGAUGGCUGCAAAGCCUUGUGUGACAUCUCUAUUUUUCAGUUCAGUGGCUCCCAGUUCUUCAUCAAACCACAUGGGGGCGUCUCUCUCCAAAAACCUCCAGGAACACCCACCUCUCUGGGGUAGUGAUUUUUGAGAUGUGAUAGAAAAUUCCCUGUGAUUUUUAAAACUGUGCUUCCUUUCGUUAAAAAUUCAAAACAGUCAAGUUACACUGUUCUCCAGUAAUUAUUUAAAUUAACUGAAAUAAAAUGUGUAUGAAAGAGACAAACAAAAUAGAAAGAGAUGACUAAAUAUGUGUUAUCAGUGUUGGUAACAGGUCCAAGGUUCCAUUUUCUUAAAAAUAUGCUAAAAUAUGAAACUUCAAGCAUGAAACAAAGUAGUAUAGGCCUAUCUGUAACACAACCCCCUAUGGUUAGAGAGAGAAAUGUAAUUUAAUUCCAUUUAUUGUGUUUCACUGUGGGUAGUUUUGCUGUAGAUUGAGAGGACGAGAGCCUGGCUUUCAUAGUUUGAUCAUAGAAGAAUGUAAUUCCUCACAGCUUCAGGUUUCCAAAGAAACAGCUCAGGAUUUCUGACAGCGCACAAAAAGUUCCAUACAGCUGUAGUUGUUAUUGUUGCAGCCAGGCCACAACAAACUGUCUGCUGAGAAAGUCUCCCAAUAUCAUGUGAUGUGUUUGAGAGGUGGUUCUUUGUGCCUGGCUCAGCUUUGACCCACAUUGAUUUUGGGGUGAUUUUUCUUCCCCCUGGGGGAUGUUGAGAAACAGCUACUGUUGAGACCCUGCAAGCAGCCAAUAGAGAGAAAAAAACUGGGGGUUAAUCAUUUCCAUUGAGUGCAUCAUAAAUAACAAAACAAAAUACAGGUCUGUCUUGGUCAGGAAGAUCCAGUUUCAUUCUCUGACAGUAAAAUGGCACUUUUCCGUUCUAGAGAAUUGUGGAAAUAAUCAUUUAUUGACAUUGAUUGCCCAUACUGCAUUCAUCAUGUUUUAACUAAACAGUUGCUUUCACUAACAAGAACCACACCACAACAAUAUGUCAGUUAAAGGUUUAAUGGAUGAAUGGAUGUAAAGAGGAAGGGUGAAGGUGGAAGAAGCAUGUCAAUAGGCCUGUUUCGCAUUAGACAUUUUGACUUGUCAUAAACUCAGGUGUUAUUAUAACAUUAACAAUUCAGCCCUAAUUAACUGUAUUAUUUACACAUGUGCUUUUACUCUUGUGUAAUGUCGUAAUGUAUUGUAUGAAAAGGCUGAGAAAAAGAGAUGAAGCAUCGCUGUGAUGAAACAACUUCAUCCACAACUUCCUGUCUUGCCUUGAUACAUCUCUAAAGAUGAAACGCUCCUCUUUACAGGUUCAUGGGGUUUUGAAUAUUUUAGGCUACACAAUCCUACACUGCAUUCCUGGACAUUGACUGUUGCAUCUGGAGACAGAUCUGCUGUCAGAAGACAGGCCAAAUAUGUCACUAAGCUGGUCUGAGCAAUGACGUAUACACUCCAGGGCGCCUUUAGGUGCACCUUUGUUGACAUAUUAUAUCAGUGAGAAAGAGAACUAACUAUUGUUUGUUAAACCGCCUACUCACAUAUCUUCCCUCGAACUAACUUCAUUCUAAAACUGCAAAUUGUAGAGAAAAGGUUCAAUUACAGGAAGAUCACUGUUUGUGGUGAUAUAUCAUUAUUUCAGAUUGAUGAUAAUAGUGGAGGUAUGUACUUCAGUACAACACAGAGCAGGCUUUGUCACAGCACAAAGCAUUUAUUAUCCCCAUCGUGGCAGAGAGGGGAAACAGUGCUCAUGCAGCCUCCUUCCUGCUUAUCUCAGACAAGGGGAAGGCGCUUUAUAAUCACCAGGCGUCUGGAUGUAUAAGACUACAGUAUCUGAAGUCCAUGCUCAAGAAGCUACACUAAUCAUAUCUGUCUCUGUGUUUCUCUCGCUGCCUCACUGUCUCCGUUUCAGUUUUCAGACUUUUCAGAUGAUAGACUUCAAACCAGAUUGCUGUUUGUGGAAAAAGUGGAAAUUAAGUAUAGCAAAAUAAAGCCAGAUCACUCACUAUUA